rnacentral:rRNA from 1 species
AUUAGUCAAUGCUCGUAAGAGUGAACUAGCUAACUGAAAUCCUUAAUGUGUCAUUGAGGAUAAGGUAAGGGAAAAUAAUGAUAUUACCUUACUAUGAGUGUCGUCCAAAUCUCGUGCCAGAAGACUCGGUAAGGCGAGAGACGCAAACGUUAAUCGUCUUGAUCAGGCGUAAAGGGUAAGUAGGCGGUGUAAAUAAUUAUAUUUAAAGUUUACUAUUUUAUAAAUUAGAUAUAAAAUAUUUAAAUAUAAUUUAAUUAAACUAGAAUCUAAAAGAAGUUAAAAUUUAGCUUAAAGUAAGAGUGAAAUCUUUAGAUAAUAAGCGAUGUUUCUUACGGCGAAGGCAUUUAACUAAUAAAGAUUGACGCUGAGGAACGAAAGUUUGGGCAGAAAAAAGGAUUAGAGACCCUUGUAUUCCAAACCGUAAACGAUGAAUGGCUGUCUCUAAGAUUGAAUCUUAGUUUCAUAGUUAACACGUGACCAUUCCGCCUUGUAAGUACGAUUGCAAAGUUGAAAACAAAAAAAUUAGUCGAUUUCGGAGCAAACGGAGUGAAGCAUGUUAUUUAAUAAA